GUCUACUGAAAGUCUGUUAGCUGCCACAAAGAAUAUGGAGGUUUUUAUUUUAGUGGAAACGUGGGCCAAAUGCAAUUAGCAACAUUCAAACAAACAGAAGCUCUUGUUUUGAAGUGUGACAGUGACUCAGAACAGAAAUGAGUGAAAACAUCCAGCCGAUAUGUUUUUGAAGGAUUUUGAUGAUAUAUACUUCUAAACCAGAAAUACCACAUUGAAACUAAGCGCAGAAGAAUGGACUAAAAUGGCAAGCCAAUAUAUUUCAUACGAUUUUCUUUUGCGUGAUUACGUAACAAAGAAGGUAGCAGAUAGACAUGAGACAUAGCCAAAAGGGAAUUAUGACGUUAUUUUGGCGAUCCCACGAUGGACUUUGUUUAAAAAGAAAGUGGAGAAAGCGAGUUUUACCCAAUUCAGCUGCAGAAUUGCAAAUUUCUUCUGCGAUGCGAUCAUGCAAUGAUACUCCAAGUUGAUGCUGGGGAAGGAAAUUUUUCGUAUUUUCUUCACGACUCCAUAAUUCCAUUCGGCUGCUGGCCAUCUGUAGAACCGAAAGUGCUUUCUGUCCAUAUGAUCCUAUGGCAGACUCCCCAGAUAGCAUCAAUGCAUCAGCAUAUUGUCGGACAGCUUCAGAAACAUCUGCAACCUAUUGAACACGAACAGUAUGAAAUAUCAGCCUUCUGGAGAGCACAAGAAGAGCCUUGAAAAGACACUUUUUUAAAUACUUAGAUAGCCAUUUCAAACAAGUCCAAAACUGGAAAUAAUCAAAAGCACAUGUCACUUGUACCUCAGCACGUGUUGGGGUAGGAUAUUCAACCAUGGACUCAAGAAGUUGAGAAGCUAUGAUCACUGGUUUGUUCAGUUCCCUACAGACUCUGGUUAUUUCCUCUUGCACUGCCGGUAUCUGCUCGAGCGGAAUUUCGACCCCAAGGUCCCCUCGAGCCACCAUGAUUCCAUCAGAUGCCUCUAUAAUUUCUUCCAGAUUUUGAAGGGCCUCCAAGCUUUCAAUCUUAGCCAAUACCCUUAUGGAUCUGUGCAUGGAAAAGAGAAUGUACCCUUCAUCACUUGAACGAAGUUUUAAAAUUACCCAAUCUGUUUCAGUAAUCAAAAUUUGCGGAAAA